UACGAAGGGGGGCUAGCGUUGUUCGGAUUUACUGGGCGUAAAGCGCACGUAGGCGGAUCGUUAAGUCGGGGGGUGAAAUCCUGGAGCUCAACUCCAGAACUGCCUUCGAUACUGGCGAUCUUGAGUCCGGAAGAGGUGAGUGGAACUCCUAGUGUAGAGGUCGGAAUCGUAGAUAUUAGGAAGAACACCAGUGGCGAAGGCGGCUCAC
rnacentral:rRNA from 1 species